rnacentral:rRNA from 1 species
GCAAGUCGAACGAGGUAGCAAUACCUAGUGGCGCACGGGUGAGUAACGCGUGGAUAAUCUGCCCUUCACUGGGGAAUAACUAAUCGAAAGGUUAGCUAAUACCGCAUGAGGCCACAGUUUCUGAGGAAGCAGUGGUUAAAGAUUUAUUGGUGAAGGAUGAGUCUGCGUGGGAUUAGCUAGUUGGUGAGGUAAUGGCUCACCAAGGCUACGAUCUCUAACAGGUCUGAGAGGAUGACCUGUCACACUGGAACUGAGACACGGUCCAGACUCCUACGGGAGGCAGCAGUAGGGAAUAUUGCGCAAUGGACGAAAGUCUGACGCAGCGACGCCGCGUGAGUGAUGAAGGCCUUAGGGUCGUAAAGCUCUGUUGCAGGGGAAGAAAAAAAUGACGGUACCCUGCGAGAAAGGAUCGGCUAACUUCGUGCCAGCAGCCGCGGUAAGACGAGGGAUCCUAGCGUUGUUCGGAAUCAUUGGGCGUAAAGCGCAUGUAGGCUGCCAUUCAAGUCAGUUGUGAAAGCCCCGGGCUCAACCCGGGAAGUGCUUCUGAUACUGUUUGGCUUGAGUACUAGAGAGGAUAGUAGAAUUCCAGGUGUAGUGGUGAAAUACGUAGAUAUCUGGAGGAAUACCGGUG